UAGGGAAUCUUGCGCAAUGGGCGAAAGCCUGACGCAGCGACGCCGCGUGAGGGAUGAAGGCCUUCGGGUUGUAAACCUCUUUCAGCGGGGACGAAGCCUCACGGUGACGGUACCCGCAGAAGAGGGUCCGGCCAACUACGUGCCAGCAGCCGCGGUAAUACGUAGGGACCGAGCGUUGUCCGGAUUUAUUGGGCGUAAAGAGCUCGUAGGCGGCCCUCCACGUCGGAUGUGAAAGCUCAAGGCUCAACCUUGAGAGGCCAUCGUCGAACGGGGAGGGCUAGAGGUAGGUAGGGGAGGGUGGAAUUCCUGGUGUAGCGGUGAAAUGCGCAGAUAUCAGGAGGAACACCGGUGGCGAAGGCGGCCCUCUGGGCCUUACCUGACGCUGAGGAGCGAAAGCUGGGGGAGCAAACAGGAUUAGAUACC
rnacentral:rRNA from 1 species